AUGUGUGUCCCAAAAGACCAAUGAGAAAUGGUUUUCCGUGAUAUACACUGCUUUAACCUGGCCUUGUUAGCAAAACAAGCUUGGAAUCUCUUGGAUAAUCCUGAAUCAUUAUAUGCAACAAUCCUAAGAGCCAAGUAUUUCCCAUAGGGCGAUUUGAUGAGCGCAGUACUAAAAAAGGGCUCCUCUUUUACUUGGCAAAGCAUUAUGGCGGGAGUGGAUUCUCUCAGGAAUGGAUAUAUAUGGAGAGUGGGAAUAGGAGAAAAUAUUGACAUAUGGAGAGAUGCAUGGAUCCUAAAUUGUGCAGAUAGGAAAAUUAUUACACCUAGAAGAGGGAAUCUCCUGACAAAAGUUUCUGAUCUUAUUGACCCAGUUACGAAUUGUUGGGAUGAAUAG
rnacentral:rRNA from 1 species